AAUGAACGUUGGCGGCGUGGAUUAGGCAUGCAAGUCGAGGGAGAACCCGCAAGGGGGACACCGGCGAACGGGGUAGGAAUACGUAGGUAACGUACCCUCAGGACGGGGAUAGCUACGGGAAACUGUGGGUAAUACCCGAUGAUCUGGCCGGGAUCAAUUUCCUGGUCAGCAAAGGUGAGAUUCCACCUGAGGAGCGGCUUACGCGAUAUUAGCUUGUGGGGGAGGUAACGGCUCACCAAGGCGACGAUAUCUAGGGGGGGUGAGAGCAUGGCCCCCACCACUGGGACUGAGAUACUGCCCAGACACCUACGGGUGGCUGCAGUCGAGAAUCUUCGGCAAUGGGCGAAAGCCUGACCGAGCGACGCCGCGUGCGGGAUGAAGGUCUUCGGAUUGUAAACCGCUGUCGGGAGGGAUGAAGUGCACGGGGGCAAUCUCCUGUGUUUGACAGAGCUCCGGAGGAAGCACGGGCUAAGUUCGUGCCAGCAGCCGCGGUAAGAC
rnacentral:rRNA from 1 species